rnacentral:rRNA from 1 species
ACGAACGCUGGCGGCGUGCCUAAUACAUGCAAGUAGAACGCUGAAGAGAGGAGCUUGCUCUUCUUGGAUGAGUUGCGAACGGGUGAGUAACGCGUAGGUAACCUGCCUUGUAGCGGGGGAUAACUAUUGGAAACGAUAGCUAAUACCGCAUAACAAUGGAUGACACAUGUCAUUUAUUUGAAAGGGGCAAUUGCUCCACUACAAGAUGGACCUGCGUUGUAUUAGCUAGUAGGUGAGGUAAUGGCUCACCUAGGCGACGAUACAUAGCCGACCUGAGAGGGUGAUCGGCCACACUGGGACUGAGACACGGCCCAGACUCCUACGGGAGGCAGCAGUAGGGAAUCUUCGGCAAUGGGGGCAACCCUGACCGAGCAACGCCGCGUGAGUGAAGAAGGUUUUCGGAUCGUAAAGCUCUGUUGUAAGUCAAGAACGGGUGUGAGAGUGGAAAGUUCACACUGUGACGGUAGCUUACCAGAAAGGGACGGCUAACUACGUGCCAGCAGCCGCGGUAAUACGUAGGUCCCGAGCGUUGUCCGGAUUUAUUGGGCGUAAAGCGAGCGCAGGCGGUUUGAUAAGUCUGAAGUUAAAGGCUGUGGCUCAACCAUAGUUCGCUUUGGAAACUGUCAAACUUGAGUGCAGAAGGGGAGAGUGGAAUUCCAUGUGUAGCGGUGAAAUGCGUAGAUAUAUGGAGGAACACCGGUGGCGAAAGCGGCUCUCUGGUCUGUAACUGACGCUGAGGCUCGAAAGCGUGGGGAGCGAACAGGAUUAGAUACCCUGGUAGUCCACGCCGUAAACGAUGAGUGCUAGGUGUUGGAUCCUUUCCGGGAUUCAGUGCCGCAGCUAACGCAUUAAGCACUCCGCCUGGGGAGUACGACCGCAAGGUGGAAACUCAAAGGACUUGACGGGGGCCCGCACGAGCGGUGGAGCAUGUGGUUUAAUUCGAAGCAACGCGAAGAACCUUACCUGCUCUUGACAUCCCAUUCGAUAGAGGGUAAUGCUUCUAGCCCUUCGGGGGAAUGGAGACAGGUGGUGCAUGGUUGUCGUCAGCUCGUGUCGUGAGAUGUUGGGUUAAGUCCCGCAACGAGCGCAACCCCUAUUGUUAGUUGCCAUCAUUCAGUUGGGCACUCUAGCGAGACUGCCGGUAAUAAACCGGAGGAAGGUGGGGAUGACGUCAAAUCAUCAUGCCCCUUAUGACCUGGGCUACACACGUGCUACAAUGGUUGGUACAACGAGUUGCGAGUCGGUGACGGCGAGCUAAUCUCUUAAAGCCAAUCUCAGUUCGGAUUGUAGGCUGCAACUCGCCUACAUGAAGUCGGAAUCGCUAGUAAUCGCGGAUCAGCACGCCGCGGUGAAUACGUUCCCGGGCCUUGUACACACCGCCCGUCACACCACGAGAGUUUGUAACACCCGAAGUCGGUGAGGUAACCUUUUGGAGCCAGCCGCCUAAGGUGGGACAGAUGAUUGGGGUG